rnacentral:lncRNA from 1 species
GUUUAAUUCAACUGAAGUCUAAUUCAAAUUUUGCAACCUUUUGAUAUCAGAUUGAAUGGCACUUACUAAAACAGAUAUAUAAAUAAUACAUCAUCUUAUAUUCUUCUGAAACUGCUUACAGUAUAUUCUAGGAUUACAUACCAACCAUAAUCUCCAAAACUGUGAAUGACCAGUGAGACAAUGAAAAAGGACUGGACCGCAUUCAAAUUCUUUUUGUCGGGGUGGGGUGGAAUUCAGUUGAGCUUUGAAUCUGGGAGGCUGAACCAUGGGUCUUAGAAUCCAAGGUUGCUGUUGGAGAAAUAGUGAGAAUUAGCUAGAAAGGUUUUCAGGAAAGAGUAAAUUCAAUUAACUUGCUAUGGCUAAAUAUUUGAAACCUGAAAUUUUUCAGGCUUCCAGACUUGUUCUGAUCUCAGUCAGGCAUUGGCAAUCAAGAAAAGUGCUCGUUUUGUAGUACACCAAGCUACUGCCACUCCCCUGGACA